rnacentral:ncRNA from 1 species
AUAAAGUUUUAUUUUGGCUUAUAUAUUUGUUAUUAGUUUAUUUUAUAUGUAAAUUUUUGUGUUUGUUGGUAAUUAUCUAAAAGAUUAUUAUUUUAAUUAGCAAUAAUUAAUAUUAUUUUUUAUUAAAGAAAUUUAUAGAUAGUAAUAUUUAUAAUAUUGAUAAAUUUUGUGCCAGCAAUCGCGGUUAUACAAAAAAUAUAAAUAAAUUUAGUUAAUAAAAGUUAAUUGUAUAUUAAAAAAAUUUUAGAAAUAAUUUUAUUAGGUGAAAUUUUAAAAUUAAGUAUUAAAAUUUAUUUAAAAUUAAUGAAGCUUAAAACCUUUAAAUUUAAACUGGGAUUAGAUACCCUAUUAUUUAAAAUGUAUUUAUAAAAUAUUUAAGUAGUAUUAGUUAUAUUCUUAAAACUUAAAGAAUUUGGCGGUAUUUUAGUCUGUUCAGAGGAACCUGUUUUGUAAUUGAUAAUCCACAUUGUAUCUUACUUAAUUUUGUUUUUCAGCUUGUAUAUCGCUGUUAUAGAAUAUUUUAUAAGAAAGUUAAUUUUCAAUAAAUUUAAUUAAAUUUAAUAUCAAGUCAAGGUGCAGCUAAUAAUUAAGUAUUUAAUGGGUUACAAUAAAAUUAUUUUUAAUGGAUUUAUUAUUAAAUAUAUAAAUGAAAAUGGAUUUGAAAGUAAAUUCUUAUAGAUUAAAGUUUUGAUUUUAGCUCUAAAAUAUGUACACAUCGCCCGUCGCUCUUAUUGUUUAUUAAAAUAAGAUAAGUCGUAACAUAGUAGGAAUACUGGAAAGUGUUUCUAGAAUGAU